AUGAGUCGACCUGAUGGGAUCAACAUCCCCGACGGCAAGUUCUACCUUGGAGAUGCUGGCUAUGCAUGUCGGUCGGGUAUUCUUCCACCCUUUAGGAAAACAAGGUACCAUCUCAACGAGUUCUCUGGUAGGAACUAUCCUAGGACUGCACAGGAGCUAUUUAAUCUCAGACACUCCAGCUUUAGAGUAACUGUUGAGAGGGCAUUUGGAGCUCUGAAGAAUAGGUUUAAGAUCCUGGAUCAGAAGUCAUUCCACCCAUACUCCACUCAGGUUAAGCUAGUUCUUGCUUGUUGCAUUCUGCAUAACUGGAUCCUCCAUUGGGGCUUUGAAGAACACGUGCCUGAGGAGGAAGAUGUCGAGCCUGACGAUGUUGUUAGCUCCGGCCAUGGUAUGGAGGCAUUUGACAAUGGCUCUUGGAAGAACAAAAGGUUGGAGUGGGCAGAGGCGAUGUGGCUUAACAGAGGUCAGUGCAGGAUUUGA
rnacentral:rRNA from 1 species